rnacentral:tRNA from 1 species
GGGCGAGUGGCGAAACUGGUAGACGCACCGCACUCAAAAUGCGGCGAUCUUGCGAUCAUAGGAGUUCGAUUCUCCUCUUGCCCA